rnacentral:rRNA from 1 species
UCCAGACUCCUACGGGAGGCAGCAGUGGGGAAUAUUGCGCAAUGGGGGAAACCCUGACGCAGCAACGCCGCGUGAGUGAGGAAGUAUCUCGGUAUGUAGGGCUCUAUCAGCGGGGAAGAAGGAAGACGGUACCCGACUAAGAAGCCCCGGCUAACUACGUGCCAGCAGCCGCGGUAAUACGUAGGGGGCGAGCGUUAUCCGGAUUUACUGGGUGUAAAGGGAGCGUAGACGGCGAUGCAAGUCUGAAGUGAAAGGCGGGGGCCCAACCCCCGGACUGCUUUGGAAACUGUAUAGCUGGAGUGCAGGAGAGGUAAGUGGAAUUCCUAGUGUAGCGGUGAAAUGCGUAGAUAUUAGGAGGAACACCAGUGGCGAAGGCGGCUUGCUGGACGGUAACUGACGUUGAGGCUCGAAAGCGUGGGGAGCAAACAGGAUUAGAUACCCCUGUA